AGGAAUUGCAAGAGUGUUUACUCUUGUCAGUAGUGGGGUGCAAGUUGUAUGGAAUUUGAAGUUCAUCAGUAAAUUGAGAAAAAUAUUGAAUUUCAUAGCUAAUCGGACCUCACAAGCGUUCACACAAGUAGAAGCCACUCUAUGAAUGGUGGAUGAGAACAGAAAAACAUUCAAUCAAAUGUCACACAACUUAGCUUUAGAUCUCCUCUUUACCCAUUUUGGGGGCUUGUGUGCAGUGUUGAAGAAAGCAGUGUGGCAAUUCUCUUGCCUCUGGUUUUGACCACUACAGAAAACUUAAUUUAAAACACAGCUGGUAAUGUUGUUUCUCUAGACACUGACUCAAAUACAUUAAGAAAAUUCUUAGGGGGAAGGAACUCAAGAUAUAUUUAUAGGAACAAUUAACAGGUGUUUGCAGGUAUCCUGAAUACUAGAUGACAAACUUGACCAUCCCAAGAUUUUCUAAUGUUUAUAUUUCUUUUAAUGGGUCUCCAGGUUUCUAUGAUUUGUUGCUAGGAUAACAACACAAACUUAUGC
rnacentral:lncRNA from 1 species